rnacentral:tRNA from 1 species
GGUGGCUCAGUGGUAGAGUGCUUGCCUGGCAUGCAAGAGGCCCUGGGUUCGAUUCCUCAGCACCA